CUAGGCAGGAAGCCUCAGUCUUCUCUGGUGGCGGCUUCCUCAAUGACCUCCGACUUCUCGGGGUCUCAGAAGACGAGUGCUGCCGCUACAUCCUUCUUCCCCAUUCCACGCGAACCCAACGCUGCGCACGCUGACGCUGACCCCGACGCAGCGUCGAAUGCAGCGUCUGGGUCACCGUCAGCGUCCCAGCGUCCUGAGCGGCGUCGGGGUCAGCGUCAGCGAACGUAGCGUCGGGGUCACGUAAACGUUGUGGGUGGGGCGGCUCAGUUCAUCGGCGGGUGGUGGUAAAGAUUCUUCUGAGAAACCGAGACGUUGGCGUUCAGCGAGGAAGCAGAGGCGGGAAGUCUCAGUCUUCACUGGCGGCAGCACAGCGGAGAACCAGGAGAAGCAGGAAGCGGUGGGGGUCGGCGUGGGCAUCCCGUGGGGCGUCCUGCUCUGGACAGCGCAUUUCGUGGGCAGGCAGCGGUGGCGGCGAGGAAAGGCGCGGUGGCAGGGCCAUUCUGGUGCAGAGUCCGGCGAUGUGGAGCGUCGGUGGCCGGCGAGGAAGCAGGUAGGAGUGGCGGUGCUGACGCGAUGGGCAGCAGCAGCGAAGCAGGCGGCGGCGGUGGCUCUGCGUUGGGCAGCGGAAGAGAGAGGCCGGCGGUGGCGGCUUGAGAUGGCAGUGGCGUCAGCAUCAGGUAGGCACUACAGAUUAACAGGUUGGGGAGGAAAACUGGUCAUAACAGUCAUAUUCGACAAAAUGAAGGGGAAGGAAGAUAGUCAAUUGCAAGGGAGUUUUCUCUAGCUUUGCAAGUGCCCCUAACACUAGCUUUAGGCUAACAGCCUUUGUGUGUCAUUUGUCGGAUUCUUGGGGGCGCACAUAUGAUGUGGGAGUUAAGUUUCUCCUUGGGAUGUCUGUGCCCUGUGUUCCAGUGCCUGGAUUUGAAUUCUGGAUCCAUUUCCAAUUCCAGCUUUCCCGCUAAUGUGUGUCCUGGGGAGACAUCAGGUGAUGGCAAAAGUGUCUGGGUACUUGUCAGCUACAUGGGAGACUGGGUUCCUGGCUCCUAACUUCAGCCUGACCCAGUCCUAGCUGCUGCAGGCAUUUAAGGAGUGAGGGAGUAAAUGGGAGUGCUCCGUCUCUUUGCCUCUUAAAUAAAUAAAGUUAAAAUUCUUCAAAAGUGGGUGAUCUUUAUCUAUUCUUAAGAUUUAUUUCAGAGGCAGAUACUCAUACCCAUACAGGUACAUGCACGCGCGCACACACACACAGUGCUGAAAACAGACAUAAAGAGGGUUCUCAUCUGCUGGUUGACUUCCUAAUUCCCACAACUACUGGGCCUGAGCCUGGCUGAGUUGAGGACUGGAGAACCAUUCCGUGUUUCCAGCAAGGAUGAUGGGUACCCAAAUACCUGGGUCCUAUCCACUGCCCUCCUGGUCCACAUUACAGGAAGCUGGACUCAAGAGCCAGAAACAGGAACCCGAUUUCUUGAGCCUUCACAACUGCCUUCUCCAUCCACAUUAAUAGGAAGCUAGAGUCAGGAGCCACAGGUGGAUACUGAACCUGGGUACUUCAAGGAUGGAAUGCAGGUGACCUUCAUUGGCUUGAGUAAGAUCGUACUCCACCCAAAUAAGAAGCAAUCAAAGAAAUUAAAGCAAAUACCAGCUAAAUUCACAUAAGUGAAUGCAAGAGGCUCAAGGAUUUGUAAGUACUGAUCUGGCAACAUCUAAGUUGCUGCUGGCACAAAACUAUCUAUUUGUAUUAUUAGAAGGAUAUAAUAUAAAUCUUUGUUAAUGAAAAACUCAGGAAGGAGGUCAUUAAAUAGAAUUAAAUACUUCCUCAACAUACAUACCACUUACUUGCUGAUCGGUAUCGGGAAAUACUGAAACUGGCCUAUCGUAAAACUUUUGGUCCCAGGGAACCCAAGGUCUUGUAGGUCCAUUUGAUUAAAGACUUUCUUGUUUGAAAGGCAGAGUUGACAUGGAGAUCUUCCAUCUGCUAUUUCACUCCCCAAAUGGCCACAGUGGAAAGGGUUAGGCCAAAGGCAGAAGCCUGGAACUGCAUUCAGGUCUCCCAAAGUGGUGCACGGACCCAGGCACUUAGGCCCUCAUCAGCUGCUUUCACAGGCAGAUUAGCAGGGAGCUGGAAUGAAGUGGAGCAUUGGGACUCGAACCUGUGCUCAUAGGGGAUGCUGGCAUUGUGGGAUGCGGCUUAACCCACCAAGCCAUAGUGCCAGCUCCUAUCAGGUCCAUUUCUAAAACAAUGGAGAUCUUUUGGGAAAAUCACUUUGGUCAGACCUGCUUGGUAAGGUAAUCCCAACAGAGUUCCUUUCCUGCUGCUCCACUGCUCGACUGCCUGCAACUGCUGGGGCUGGGUCAGGCCAAAACUAGGAGCCGGGAACUCAAUCUAAGCCUCCCACGUUGGUGGAAGGGAACCCGAUGACUGAGUCAACAUCUACUGCCGCCUUGUGUGUGCAUUAGCAGGAAAUUGAAUCAAAAGUGGUGCUUGGUAAUGCAUGGAAUUUGGAUUUCAAACCAGAGUUUGGCUCCCAACUGCAUCACUUACUCUCAUAUGUCAUUAAAAAUGUUGUAAUCUGGUGUGCCGUCAUUCUCCUGUUUUCUCCAUUGCAGCUUUACAUUCUAGUCAUCUACUGGACCCUCAUCCACCCAGUCUUCCACCAUUGCGCCACCAUCCCUCCUACUCUAUGUUAGCUUCAACCUAAUUGAGGGCCUACAUACUUGCCUCCCACUCCGUCCUCUCUAUAUAUCCUCCCAUUCCUUCUGGCCCGCCAACAACAUUGGACUCACUUUCCUCCCUCCUCCAUACCAGCCUCAUCAUCCCGGUUGGUCCUGCACACCAGCCUCACCCUCUUGUGAAGGCCAGCCUCACUCUACCUCUGGCCCACACAAACAACCACACCUUAUCCUCAUCUUCCACCUCCGUUGUAUUUCCCUUGUUUCCCCGCUACAACUGCACCCUUCCUCUAGACUUCCACAUCCGUUUCAUCCUUACAGUUUUCUACCAUAUCCUCAACCUGUCUGUGGUACUCUACAGCAGCCUCAAUCUCUUUGUGGGGCCUGCAUCCUGGCCUCCCACUCUUUGUAAUUCACACUGGGUUCAGCUUCCUUCUGGCUACCAUACUAGAAUCACUUUCCUUCUGACCCUCCAGCCAACCCUCACUCUCCUGGCCCUGCACACCAGCCUCACCCUCCCUCUGGUCCUCAGUACCAGCCUCACCUCCCCCCAACCCUCCAUGCCACUCCAGCCUUACUCUCCUUCUGUUGGUCCACUAUAGCCUCGCUCUUCUAGCCCUCCAUAUGGGUUUCAUCCACCAAAUCUGCCAUAACUUCACCUUUCCUGUGGUACUCUACACCAGCUUCAUCUUCCUUGUGGGCCUCCAUCCUGGCUUUGCACUGCUUGUAUGCCACUGUGACUUCCAACUUCCUUCUCAUCCUCAGUGCCACCCUCUCCCUCCUCAUCAUCAAUGCCACCCUCACCCUCCUCAUUUCUCUAUACCAGCCUCGCAUUUCUAUUCCUUGACACUGUCCUCACCUUCCUUUUGUGGCUCAACCCUGGGAUAACCCUUGUGGUGAUUCCCCCACCUAAGGAUCGCUUUCUCUCUGGUCUUCUAUUUAGUUGCUACCCUCCCUGUAGCCAUCCACCUAAGCCUAGCCUUCACUGUGGUUCUCAACACAAGCCUUUCCUUUGGACUUCCAUGAUAGCCUCACAUCCCUCCUAGUCCUCCACACCAGUCUCAUUGUCCUGUUUCUCCACUGCAGCCUUACCCUCCUUUGAGUCCUCCUCUUGUGCCUCACCUGCCAACUCUUCUUUCAUGGCCUCACCUUUCCUGCUGUGCACUACACCAGACUCAACCACCUUGUAGGCUUCCGUCCUGGCCUCCAUAUUGCCCUCUCUUUACAUCUAUCUGUUCCACCUCAUUAGACAUACUUUCCUUUAGACUCUGCAGCCCAGCCUCAGCCUCAACCUCACCAGCAGAUGGAAGAACCAGCAAUGGAAUGUCCGUCUCCCUCUCCCUCUCCCUCUCCCUCUCCCUCUCCCUCUCCCUCUCCCUCUCCCUCUCCCCCCCACCCCUCUUUCCAAAGAAAUCAUUUUUUAAAAAAGAGAGAUCGGAUUCAGGAGCUGCAGGCAAGGAUUAAACUCAGGUAUUCAGGAUGCUUGUUUCCCAACCACUGGACUAUAUGCCUGCUCCAUUUUGUAACAUUUUCACUGUUGUUUGUUUAGUAGUUGCCCUUGAGUUUGCAACAUGCAUUUACAGCUAAUCUCAGUCUGUUUUCAAAUAUUCUGCUUCCUGGAUACUGUGAGUGCCUCAUAAUAACAAAAUAUUCCCCAUCUCCUCCCAUUCCUUCAACCCUCAUGCAUAUUUUCCUUGCAGUGAUAGAAAAAUAUAUACACAUGUAAUAUGUAAAUAUGAAUAUAUAUGAAUAUUAUGUAUGCCAUUUUUGUGUAUGUAUUGCAUAAAUAUAGCUUAAAAUCAUAUAUGAUCUAAUAUGUUGCUAUCAUUACUUUCAGCAAUCCCAUUAGUAAAUUAAAAAUAAGAAAAAUAAAAUUUAUAUUUUACUGUGAUUUUUCUUUUUUUCUCUCAUGUUCUUCCUUUUUAUGUAGAUCCAAGUUUCUGACCUAUAUGAUUUUCUUCCUCUCCAGAAAACUGUUCACAUUUCUUGCAAGAUAGUCUUCUGGCAACAAAAUGUAUAAUUUUUGCCUGCCAAACAUUUAUUUCUUCUUCACUUUAGAAAGACAAGUUUCAGGAUACUAAAUUUCAGUUUGGUAGUUUUUUCUCUCCAUGCUUAAAAUAGUUUUCUCCUCAGUUUUUCCUUGUGUGGUUUCUGAGGAGAAGUCAGAUGUGUUUGCUCCCCCAUGGAUUGUUUAUUCUGCACAAGCUGCAUUCAGGACUUGUUUACGGGAUACUGCUGUAUAUAGUGAAUAUCAACAAGCCUUUGGAGAAGUUUUUUUUUUUUUUUAAGGAAGUAUGGGAGGAGAUAUGGAUCAUUUUUUUAAAAACUGAGGACAAACAGACCUGUUUAGACUACAUACUUCUAAGUAAUGAAACUAAGAAUGGAUGUUGGUGAGCUACAUCAUGCAUGAGAUUUAAAAUAGCACUCUUAAUUAAAAACACAAUUUUUAAGAGCAUCGGUUAACAGAGAGCAUUGAAUUUGCCUCCACACUUUUUCAGUGUACUGCAAAGUAAGCAUUUUGGGCAAGGACCACAUGUCAGAUUUAUCUUUGAAUCUCUCUUGCCUGCUAAAGGUAGUGACAUGAUAGCCCUGAAUAUGUGCUUAAAUGAAUCCAUUAAGGAAUGCAUUCAUGCAUUAAAUUCAAAUAAAACCUCAUGGUGUUUGAUGUCAGAAUUGUGUAACUAAAUAACGUUAGGUUCUAAAAUAUCAACAUGGUAUUUCACUUGGAGAAAACAUAGAUUAAUGGCUCUGAUUUUGAAACUACUUCUUUCUUUCUCAAAAAGUGCAGUAAACCUUGGGUGACAGUCAUGAAGCCUCUUCCUACUGCAGCUAAGUAACAUAGACCCACUAUGCCUCAUUUUCCUCAUUUGUAGCAUUGAUUUUAGGUUGUCUUGACAAACUACCAAGAGUUUUGCCGUACCAUUCUUGUUCGUUCUGGUUUGUCUGGUCUGCAAUGAUAUCUGUCACAGAUUUCCAAUCACUACUGGCAAACAUUUAGUUCACUUAGUUUAUGCAGAACAGUUACAGACUCUGCUGCUGGGAUAGAAAAUAUAUCUCAUUUAGAGUUUUACCCUGUGGAUACAAUUUGAAAUAGAAUGAAAACCAUUGGCAUAGAGUCCCUUUUAAAGGUUUACCUGUUGUAGAAGCAUUUGAAAGAAAGCAUAUUAAGGGCAAAGAUAAAUAUUUACUUAAAUUAUUAAAACAUCUUGAGAUUUUUUUGCUAUGGCCCUGAUGUCAUAAAAUUAUAUUUAAGCUAUUGUGAUAACUUUGAAACCAUAGACAUAGAGGUUAGUAUGCAUUGAGAGGUACAUAAUGUAUAUACUGUUAGCUUGCUUGAAUUAAAGGUAGCCAUUGUAUAUUUUAAAUUACUUUAAUGUUGAAAUUUGUAUGUAGUUUAGAAAAUGGAAGGUAUGGUCUGCUGAGAGUUGGCCUUAAUCCUCAAGUAGGUUGGCUUAUACUCAAUUUCAGGGAGACAACACACAUAUGCCUAGUAGGAUAACCCAAACAGUAGGCUUUGUAAGGCAAAAAGCCUAUGAAUAUCAUGGAGAAUAAGAAUUUCAGGCUUUGUUUUUAAUAUUUGUUAAUUUAUUUAUUUGAAAGGCAGCGUUACAGAGAGGCAGAGGCAAAGAAAGAGAAGUUUUCCAUUUGCUGGUUCACUCUCCAAAUGGCCACAACAGCUGGAACUGCAUCUAUCUGGAGCCAGGAGCUUCCCUCAGGUCUUUCAGGUUGGUGUAGGGGCCCAAGGACUUGGACCAUCCUCUUCUGCUUUCCCAGUCCAUAGCAGAGAGCUGGAUUGAAGUGAGGCAACCAGGACUCAAACCAGCACCCAUAUGGGAUGCCAGCACUGCAGGUGGUGGCCCUACCAACUAUGCCACAUCGCUGGCCCCAGAAUUUCCAAUUUAACUUUUUUUCCUACUUGCAUUUCCAUCAAAGAAGGGGUUGAUGAUGAGAUGUUAGGAAUCUAUUAUUAAAUGAAGGCGUGAGGAAUCUAUUACAGCCCUCCUGCAUUAUUGCUUCUUUCCAGCUUAUGCAGACUGAAUUUACAAAUGGUUUUGGUGCUUCUAUCACACAGUAAAUGAUUUUUUGAAUGUAAGCCAUAUUUAUUCCUAUUUUACUCAAUGUUAGCAUUAAGACAAUGAUAAUGCUAACUAAAAUUUUUAAAAAAUUUAGUUAAAAUUACAUUUGCAUAUGAAAGUGGAGGCAAACUUACCUAAUUUAUUCUACUUCUAAAUAUACGUAAAAUUUUCUUGAGGAAACAGGAUGGCAGUCAGGUUAAGAGGGCUAGUUCUUGAAAAGGAAGUUGUCAUAUGUAAUCAUUUAGGAGCGGCCAUCUGGAGGUAUUGAUGCUCUUCACUCUUCACAAUUAUUUAAUUAUGUUCUAGGUGGCAUUUCACUGCUUGAUGUCUUUUGUGGAUAUAUCAUUCUUUGUACAUUCAGUUGCUGAAUCACAGUCAUAGGCCGUUUCCAUAUUUUAGCUAUUGUGAGUAGCACUGCCAUAAACAUGGAAAGGAGAUAUCCUUUUGACACACUGAUGUCAUAUCUUUUGGACAUAUACCCAGUAAUGGAAUUGCGGGAUUUUGCUCAGUUCUGUUUUGUUAGAGAGACUCCCAUACUAUUUUCCAUAAUGGUUGUGCUAAUUUGCCUUCCCACAAAAUACUAAAAAUUUCACCUGUCUUGAAAUCCAUGUCACCCUUUGUUAUUUUUUGUUUUCUUCAUGAUAGUCAUUCUACCUGGAGUGAGAUGAUAAUCUUAUUCUGGUUUUAACUUGCAUUUUUCUGUUGAUUAAUGAUGUGGAGAAUUUUUUCAUGUAACUAUUGGACAUGUGCAUGUCUUCUUUUGAGAUGAGUAUGUUAAGUCCUUCAGCCUAGUUUAAAAAUUGUUGUUUUGUUGUUGUUGUGUUUUGUUUUUUUUUUUUUUUUUAGCCCUGGGUUUUUUGAGAUAAUUGUAUAGUCUGGAUAUUAACUCCUGUAGAAAACCUGAGAAGUAUUGUGUGGCAUUGUAUUGGGGACAGGUUUUGUUAUUUACGUUUUGACAUAGAAGCACAGGCUAGACUGGCCUGGGUAGGUGGCUUGGGGCUGCUCCCACACCUGGAAUCUGAAGCAGUGUCAGUGGCCGCGGGCUUAGCAGGUUGGAGCUGGAUGGACCUGAUGCAAGGUGCUGGGCACCACUGGCACAGCACCCCAGCUGGCCGCAUGGGGGAAAAGGCCCAGGCCCUGCUGCCCACGUGUGACUCUUGGGGGCUUGGCUGCCAUGCCACUUUGUCCUGGGAGGCCCUGCUACAUGCCGCUGCACUCUGGGAGCUGGGAGCCCAACAAUGCCCUGCAGGUCUAAGGAGCCUGCCCUGGUCCCUGCACUGGCUGCAACCACUGGAGAAUGAAACACCCCCAGAUAAUAGCACCCGUGGGCUUGGACAAGGAGCUCAGUGACCUCCUGGACUUCAGCAUGAUGUUCCUGCUGCCCGUGGCCAGUGGAAAGGGCUGGCCUGUCUCCUUGGCCAGCGCAUAGUUCAGAGGAACAGGUCCGGAGGACUGGCCGGCUCAGGCUCCUGGGACGCUGGCAACCAGAACACCUCCUCCUUUGACCCCGGCCAGAGCUACAGUGAAGGACCCAUUUCAGUGAGUCCCACGGCAGCCUUUCUUGGUUCACAUUCCUGGGACCUGGGACCUGGACUUGGAGGCAAGGGAGGCCAGUGGGGUGGGUACCCCACCUUCUGGAGAGACACAGCUUUUGGCGGCUUGACUCAGGUCAGGUUCCUUGACUGGCGAGCUGGCCCUCCACAGCCACGGGCCAUUGUCCUUCUCAGACAUCAAGGGCAGCACCCAGUACAAUGCCUCCUAACCCGGCAACCCUUGGGGCAAAGCCUCAGGUGGCCACUGGGCCUACAGCCCAAGAAUGUCCAGAAGAUUCUACUUGUUCUUCCUUCCUCAUUGUACCCUCCCACCCCCAUGGCAGCUUAGGUGACGACUAAGGCAGGGAUGCCUGUGUCUACCCAUCUGGCAAGCUCCCUGUAGCACCUGCUCUGCAGCCUUCUACUGGCCAGCCUGCACCCUUCCUUGGAGCUCUAGAGCCCCUCAGACCAGGAUGGUUUCAGGCCCAUGCUGGGCGGGAGCUCAUCCGACUGCCCCUCUGGAUGGGCAGUGGUGAUGGGUUUUGAGGCCACAGUGCAUUUGGUAGCAUGUACUAGGAGCAUAUGGACUACUAACCGCAUGGAGCUGAGGUCAAUAGUGGCCUCCCAGCCAUGUCCACCUUCUCAGUGCUCCCAUAGCCGUGUAUGGUGGCAUCUCCAGCAACACACCACCCCUCCCAUCAGCGGGGCAGACAGCCUCAUCGGCUCCAGAGAGACCAUGGCCACCAGCAGGUGAGAGAACAGCAAAACAAUCCCCAGAGUUCUCUCUCAAGCCAAGAGAAUGCAAGAAAACUACAAGAUGAAAUGCAACUGAUUCACCUUUGCCAAAAAAGGAGGAAGACAUUGCACCAAAGGAAGAGAAUUAUGAGGGAGGACUCUGUUGGAGAAGCUAUUCAGCCAGCAGGAGAACGGGCCUCCAGAAGAAGCAGAGAAGUUUUGCUCACGGAUCAUUGCCAUGGGUCUCCUACUUCCUUUCAGUGACUGCUUCAGGGAACCAUGUAAUCAGAAUGCCCAAUCGAGUUCAGCUCCGUUUGAUCAAGAUCAACUUUACACCUGGGCUGCCGUUAGUCAACCCACACACUCGCUGGAUUACACAGAAGGGCAGUUUCCCAGGAGAGUCCCGUCUGUGUGGCCAUCAUCAAAACCUCCUCAUGAAGAGCACAGGUCGAAGAAGGCCGAAACAGAAUCUCAAUCUGCUGUUUUGGAACCCCUGAAUAAGUGUCCAGAUGCUGUCCAGCAGUUCUGGCCAACAAACAAAUGCUACCAAACAAUGGGAGACUUAACUGAGAAAUAUGUGGUGAACUUUUUCCUCCCUGAUAAGGAAAGCUGCUCUACCCGCACCUACCUUCCGACUGUUGGACAAAAUCAUGAGGGGAGAGAGAGAGAGAAAAUGAAUCUUCUCUGGUUCCACGGAAGAUAGGUCAAGAUAGUAAGAAUGAGUCCUUGAUGCCAUUUUCAAAGUCAACAAUGAGACAAAGUUAAAUAAAAGAUUAAUUAAAACUUAGAUUCUGUAAUUAAAGUGUUCUGAGUCCAUAAAAUAAGAAAAUAAAUGAGUAGAGAAGGUAGGAAAGAGGAUGCUGAGAACUCACAUAUUCCAGGCUAGGAAUAUGGGCAAAUGUUUUAAAUUCUAUGUCCCUCAAGGAAGUCCUACAAAAAAGGUUCAAAGUUAUAUUAGAGGUGGUUUUUCUGAAAGAAGUAUAUCUUCUCUAAACGAGGUUCUCAUUGUAGUCUGUGGUAUAAAUUGCCUGAAUGUUCUAUAAUUUGGAAUUUUACUGGGUUGGAAAAGCCAACUUCUAUGUCUAGAGUUAAAACAAUCAUCAUCAUAGAAGUGGAAGGUAUAAUAUAAACAGUCAAAAACGAAACACAAAAUGACAAGUCUCAGACUGCAAUCAUUUUUGAAGAUAUUUUCAUUAAUGUUCCUUAAGUUUUUAAUUUUUUUUUUUUUUACUUAUCUGAGAGGCAGCAACAAAGGGAAACUCCCACACAUCCUGGUUCACACCCCAAAUACCUGCAAUGGCCAGGGCUGGGUUAGCACCUGAGCCAGCAGCCAGAAAGGCAGUCCUGCUUUCCAAUGAGGGUGCAGGAAUCCAAUGAUUUGAGCCAUCAUCGCUGCCUCCCUGAACUAGGCUAGAGUCAGGAGUCAGAACAGGGAAGGAAACCAGGCCCUCUGAUGUGGAAGCUGGGUACUUUAACUGAUAGGCUAAAUACCCACUCCCGAAAUGUUCUUAGACAAGAGGAAUAAGUCCACCACAAAGACACAGUUAUGCUUCGUGUCUCUGAAAUAGAAAUUAUUAUUUCAAAUUACCUCAGGGUAGAAGAAUGAACAGCCUCAUUAAGGAGAUUAGAUUCUUUAGACUCAAAAACUUCUGUUUGUGGAAAAAAUCUUUGAUUAUGAUUAUUAGGAUAUAGAAUUCACUAGAAACUCAGAGGAAAACAUUAUGUUUUUGAGAGAAUUGUGAUUGUGACAAAAACAUGAGGCCUGGUGGGAUUUAGCAGGAAACUAACUCCUCAAGUAAUCCCAGAACUUAGAAACUAAGCCAAAUAGAACUGGAUAACGCAUACAUUAUUUCUCCUAGAAAUUACCUUCUGCCACAUACAGAUCUCUGAAUGACCAGGGAGGAUCCUGGGAAAAGAGACUUCUCAAGAGCAGCAAUAUGUGCUGACAGACUAGACUGGCCAAUUGGUGAAUUUUUUACACAGCAAUUCGUAUUGGUAAGGUUGGGAAUAAAGAGAAGUGAAAAAUGCAUUACCCUAGGCCAGGAAAUUUAAGAGUGAGCUAAAAUAUUGAAAAAAAAAAUAGGUUAAAUAACAUUUUAAUGCAAUUACAAAAAACUAAGUUAAUGACAAAAAGAUCCAUGAUGAAUGAAAUAUCAAAAUUGUAAAUAUAAACCAAGAUUACUGGUGCCUCCUUUUGCCUCAGGUUCCCAUGCAGCUCAGCACAGCACUGUUACAGUCAUUUCCUCGUUUUUCCUUUCCUAAAACCUUUGUGGUGGAUUUCUUCUUUUCCUCAUCAUUGUGUCUUGUGUGUGUUGGUGGAAGCCAACUUGGUCACCAAAUAUAUAAAAAGCCAAACCCAGUCUUGCUUAUCUCUAGAGACCUUGGGCCUUCAAGUGAAAUGGAGAAAUUGGAUGAGAUUGAGGUGGCCUCUCCACAGGCAGGGGCCCGGGAGCUUUGAGGUUCGGUGUGCAUCCUGCAUCUGAGGACCUCUUCGCUCGCGGACAAUGCAUUCAGUUCUCACGGUGGAGAUUAAAGUCGCCGAGAUACAAGAAACGUUUUUCGCGCCCGAGUUCAGCCUGGAGCCAAGCGGGGGCCUUGGGGGCGGCGGCUGCCGGCGGGGAGCCAGGCCCGGGCUGCGUCCCGCGCAGCCAUUGGCGGGCGCCGCCGCGCGCUGCACUGAGCAUGUUCGCGCCCCGCCGGCUCCGGGCCGCAGCCGCAGCCGCAGCCGCAGCGAAGGCAGCCGCGGGAGCCGCCGCGCAUUAUCAAAGCGGCGGCAGAUGCGAGCGGGACCAGCUGGUCGCACGUCAGCUUCUCCUCCCAGCAGCUCGCCCCGCUGCCUGACUUACCCUGGAGAGUCCCCCGGCCCGGACUCGGGGCUGAGGAGGGCCGGCAUGGCCUGAGUGCGCGGGGCGCGGCGGCGCAGCGGCGGGAUUGCACCAUGGGGAACCAGGAGGGGAAGCUGAAGAGGAGCGCAGGUGAUGCCGCGCACGAAGGCGGCGGCGGCGGCGGCGGCGCCGAGGGUGCUGUGGGGCCCAGGGAUGUGGAGGCCACAGAAGGGCAGUGGGGGCAAGAAGGCGCUGGGCAAGCACAGCAAGGGGGGAGGGGGCGGCGGCGGGGAGCCCGGCAAGAAGAAGAGCAAGUCGGACUCCAGAGCCUCGGUGUUUUCCAACCUGCGGAUCAGGAAGAACCUGUCCAAGGGGAAGGGCGCCGGGACUUCUAGGCCCUGCAGACCGGGGAGCUGGACAGAGCGCGCUCCCUGGUCCCCAAGACUCCAGACCUCAGCCUCUCGGCGGACGAGGCGGGCCUCUCGGAUACGGAAUGUGCGGACCCCUUUGGGGCGCCUCGCCCGGGGGAUCAUGGUCCUGCCGAGGCUGCGGUGGCGGUUGGGGCAGUUGCUGAGGAUUUGGAACCCGCGGCGGGGGCGCAGGAUGGACAAAGGACCAGUUCGGGCUCGGCUACGGACAUCUACAGCUUUCUCUCGGCCACGGAGCAGGAUGAUAUGCCCUCGGAUAUUGAGCAGGCGAUACGCCUGCAGCAGCUGCUCCAGGGCUUCUAGGAGUCUGCAGCGCCCCCCACUGAAGCUCGCCCUCAACCAGGGGCCUUCCUGGGCCUGGACCGGUUCCUGCUGGAGCCGAGCCCCGGGGCUGGGGAGGCCCCAGGUAGUCCCGACACAGAACAGGCGCUGUCUGCGCGCUCGGAUCUGCCUGGGAGCUUGACCGCCGAGCCCGCCGUGCCUGAGCAGCCACCAUCUCCUGGCGCCCUCUUCGCCUCGGAGGCACUCAGCCUCCCGGAGGCCCAGCCCCCGGCCGCAGACUCGCCCUCAUCCACGGCCUUCGCGUUUCCCGAGGCUGGGCCGGGGGAGGGCGCAGCUGGAAGCCCCGCGCGAGGGACUGGUGACACGGACGAGGAGGCCGAGGAGGAGGCUUUUGAGGAUGCCCCCCGAGGCUCUCCAGCGGAAGACUGGGCCCCAGAGAGGGGAGAGGCCCGGCCGAAGUUGGGGGUUGAGCCCGAGGAGCUGGCGCGAGAGCCUGGAGCCCCCGCAGCCUCCUCCCUGCCCGGCAGCCCCUCGCCCAGUCCGCGCUGCUUCAAGCCCUACCCGCUCAUCACUCUCUGCUACAUCAAGUCCACCACCCGGUAGCUCAGCUCGCCCAAUCACUCCCCAUCUCAGUCCCCCAGCCAGAGCCCCAGGAUCAAGAGGCGGCUGGAGUCCUCCCUGAGCCGGGGACCCUGAACUGCCCUGGCCUCGGCAGCCGCCCCGGCUAAGAAGCACCGGACGGACGGCGGCCUCGUGGGCGGCCUCAGCCGCUCCGCGGACUGGACAGCGGAGGUGGGCACCCGCGCGCCGCGGGCGGGAGGCUCCGCGCACCUGCUGGAGCGCAGGGCAGCCACUGAAGGCGGUGGUAGGGUGUCCCCAGCGUUGGCCGCCAAAGCGUCUGGGUCGUCCACGGCUGCGGAGGGCUUCCAGAACGUAUUCACAGACUAUGAGCUUCUGGAGGGCAGGAGCCAGGAUGGUCUUUCUCAGUUGGACCCCAGGACUGACUUUGCUGGAAACAAGGUGGACCCAGAAGAGAGCAAGGUGACAUGCUGGUGCCUCAGAUUCAUACAAGUCACCCACGCCCUUUUGUCUGCUGACAGAAUUCUGUGUCAGAGAAAGGAGGUGACUGGUCCAAGGUCACAGGCUGGUUCAAGAACUGUGGAGCUCGAAGCAUUCCUGUCAUUUCCCCAGACAACCACGAGAGGGCAGAGCAGGACUACUUAUGACAGUGGAGCCAUUGCAGAAGGGCCCGGGAGCUCUGAAGUCCCCUGUGCACCUGCACUGAGCCUGUUCCUCCCUGCGGGCCGGCCUCAGCCACAGCUGCAGCCACUGCAGUCAGGGAGGCGCAGUGCAUUCUUCAAAGCAGCCCAGGUACCAGCGGGGUGUGCUUCAGCCUCUCCUUCUGGCUCCCACCACUGCCUGCUUUGCCAGACCAUGCCCCUGGCUGCGCAGCUGGCCCAGUGGCUUCCGGUCUCAGGUCCCAGCGUGAGCCCCAGGAGCAAGAGGCCUGUGGAUUUGUAACUGAGUCCGGACCCUAAACAGUCAUGGCUUCCGCGGCGGCCCAGACCAAGGAACACGAAGCGGCCACGUCUCUGCAGGAGCUGCAUGGAGGAGGUGGGCUGCGUGACCUGGGCCGAAGCUGCCAAACCGGCUGACCAUUGACCUCAGUGGACCACGACGAUGUGGGGGUGCCUGGCACGGGGCGCCCACAGCUGUGUUCGGCUCUGGGAAGUUGUCCCCAGGUAAGCUCGCUGACCCCAGCUUCCUUUGGUCUUCUGGCUUUCGAAGUAAGUGAUAUGCCAAUGUCCUCUUCAUAGGGAAAACUGUGCCUCCUUGGUGAAAUUCUUGGGAUGCCCUUGCUGGUAUCGGUUCUCUUAGAUGGUCUGGAAGGAAUCCUUUACUUGUGCCUGUCCUAACAGACCUGUGCUCCUGUUCUGGGUCAUGGCAGGCAGAUCACCUCCUUGUUUGCCUUGGUAGUUAGACCCCCAUUCUUCUCUUUCUUCCCUUGUCUGCCCAGUAUUAGGAAGAACAAGCUUGUUUCUGGUCCAAUCACAAAGGUGGGUGUUGGGGGCACAAGGAGUCCAUUCUGGGGCUUUCCAAGGCUGUCUCUCAGUGUUCUGGUGUCGGUACAUAUGUGGGUGUUUCUGUGUACCUGGAACGCGCGUUUUCUGUCUGGCAGCCAUCUGGUGCAACUCCUUAGUGAAGCUAAAUGGUCACUCCUGGUAGCUGAUGCAAGCCAAUCUGAUGCAUGCUAUUCAAAAAGGUGGACAUCAUAGAGCUAUUAGGGAAAGUUUCCUUUGGUUUCAUGGACCAAGCAAAACAGGCUAUAGCUGGAAAAUAGUGAAGAGGAGGAGGCUUUACCCAGACCUAGUCCCACAGAGAGACCUCUGUGGCUUGGCAUUUGUUACAGACUCACAGCCAGGGCUGCCCAGAGCACAGUGACAAGGUGAGUUUGUUUUGGUAAAAGUUAGUAUGAUGGCUUUAUCUUCUUUAACAGGAUUAGCAGUCCCUAGGCCUUAGGAUUAGAGUCCACAUGGAGAGUGUCACUUAGUUUCAUGUUUACUUACUGGUUUCUCUUAAUGCUGAUAUGUUUGUGAUAAUUAUGUGAAUGACUGAAAGUUUCAAAUGCAGAGUUGUGGCUGUGGAGUAGGCUAAGCCUCUGCCUGCAGCACUGGCAUUGAAUAUGAGCACCGUUCAAUUACCUGGCUGCUCCUCUUCCUAUCCAGCUCUCUGCUUAUGGCCUGGGAAAGUAGCAGAGGAUGGGCCCCUGCAUUCAUGUGGGAGACCCAGAAGAAGCUCCUGGCUUAGAUUGGCCCAGCUCUGGCCUACGUGCUGCCAUCUGGGGAGUGAACCAGUAAGCAGAAGAUCUCUGUCUCUUCCUCUGUCUGUAACUCUACCUCUCAAAUAAAUGAAAUCUUAAAGUUUCAAAUGCAAUUCAAAAUUUUAAAAUCUAUUAGUAGGUUAUGAUUAAAUCUUUAAUUGGACAAAAUUUCUCCAUGAGGACAUCUGUUUCUUGAUAAUGCUGUAUUAACCACUUUUAUGACCAUAUUUUAUUUUCUCUGAGUUAUCUAUUAAUAUGCAUUGUAGACUCUCAUAAACAUGGCCUCUUGUGUCAUUUUAAAUGCUGUUUUUUUUAUUCUUUUAUUCCCUUCUUUGAUUUUAUAGAUUCAGUUAAAGGAGUGCUUGUAGUCUCAUGACCACAGAAUAAAUUGUGAAAACCCAAGCAACAAAUAGACCACUUCUGAUGGUGGAAUGGAAAGUUGUUGAAUGAAUUUUUGAGUUUAAUGUCAGUGAGAAAUCUGUAUUUUCUGCUUAUCUAGCUUUCAUAAUUUUUUUCUGAAAAUUGAACACUUCACUAUGAGUAUCAAUCAUUAGCAUUAAUAAUUGCUGUUUGUAAUCAUGUAGGACUGUGAGUUUAUAGGUAACAUUCAUUUAUCAAGCGUGUGUGUGUGUGUGUGUGAGUACACACUUGUUUAUGGAUAUAGUCACAUCACCAAAUGCCCUCCAUUGCUGAUGCUGGGCCAGACUAAAUCCAGGAGAAGAGAACUUGAUCUGGGGCUCCCACAUGUGAGGUGGGAGCCCAAGCACUUGAGCCACCAUGUCCUGCUUCCCAGAUAAAUUAGCAGGAACGUGGAUUUGAAGCAGAGCAGCCAGAACUUGGAUUGGAACUCCAGUAUGGAGUAUAGGCAUGCCAGUAGGCUGCUUAGCACACCACACCACAACCCAGGCCCCAUAAGUAGUGUUUUGGGGGUGUUAUCAUCCACAUCUUUGUCUUGUUCACUCAACAUGAUUUAGAAAAUAGAUUCUGUAGGCUUAACAUAGUCUGGCGAGUGGUGAGGAAAUGUUGGGGAAGAGGUGAAAAAACUCUCAGAGAGCGUCCUGGGACUCACUCGGAGGCAGACACAGAAUGCGGCAGAAUCUCCUGACUGCUGAGUACCUUUCUUUGCUCCUGAUGUUUAAUGCUCUAAAACAGUGUGUGGAAGGAAAUUCUGUUUUAAAAAUAUUUGUUUUACCUAUUUGGAAGUCAGAGUGACAUAGAGGGAAAGAGAAAGAGAUUGUUCAUCCACUUGUUCAUUCCCCGUGUGUGCUUGGACACCCAGAAUUCCACCUGGGUCUCCCACAUGGGUUGCAGAGACGCAGGUAUUGGUCCCAUCCUGUCCUGCCUUCUGAGGUACAUUAGCAGGGAGCAGGAUCUUAAGUGGAGCUGCCCAGCCAAGACUCAAACUGGUGUUCCAACAUGGAUGCCCGUGUUAAAAGUGCUGGGUUAACCUGAUUUGCCACAGUGCCAGCUCCAGGAAAAAGUUUUUAAAGACCAGUUAAUAUAGGGGCUAUCAUAGUAGCACAGUGGGAAAAUCAACCACCUCUGACUCCAUCACCUCACAGGGGAACCUGUUCUAGUCCCAGCCCCCUCAUUUCAGAUCCAGCUUCCUGCUAAUGCACUUGGGAAAGCAGGGGAUGAUGCCCCAAGUACUUGGGUCCCUGCCACCCACGUGGGAGAUGUUGAUGAAGCUCAUGUAAGCUAGCUUGGCCUGGCACAUCCCUGGUCACUAGAGGAGUAAAUCAGCUGAUGGAAGAUCUCUGUCUCUCCUUUUCUCUCUGUAACUCUGCCUGUGGGGAGCAGCUCGGACUAGACUGUUACUGGAAUUAAGACUUAUUCUAUGCAUCUGCUCUCCUACAAUAUGGCGCUGGGAGAGGAGAAAACAGCUUCUACCCAGCUGCCUCCAGUUCAACCAAUAAACAGCAGGACCUGCUCCUGAUUGGAGGAGAGCAGCGUACUCGGCGUGUGGGCAGCCGAGUUGGGAUUGGCAGAGGAGGACUAUAAAGGAGGAGAGAGACGGCAUGCACCGGGAACAUCUAUGGGGAACAUCUAAGGGAACCCGUGCAGCCCCCCAGAGAGCCGGCCGGCGGUGUGCCGCUCCCCUGCGGAAGUGGGGAAAGCGGCCAGGGGGAACUGCCCUUCCACGGAGGUGGAAGGGAUAGUAGCCAACCCGGGAAGAACCAGCAGCAAACCCGGGGAGGGCCGAGCAGACGAAAGAACAGCGCAGGGUCCUGUGUCGUUCCUCCACGAAGAGGGGGAGCGACAUAAUGGUGCCGUGACUCGGAUAUGAAGCCUAGGCAGGGUUUAGUGUUGCUCCUCCACGAAGAGGGGGAGCGACACUGCCUUUUAAGAAAAUGAGUAACUCAUUUAAAAAAGAAGUUACAGAAUAAAAAGACUUGAUUUAAAAGGUUUUCCAUGAUUUUGUUCUUCUUCAAGACUUACUCUAAUGGUUGGACUUUCAGCCUUCCUCUGAUUGCAUGAAGGGUGACUGCUGGCCAGAAGCAGAUUUUCUCCAGGCAGCUCUCAUGGACGUUCUAGCUGUGGCGGCCACUGUGAAUGGACUCAGGCCCCAACCAUUGGCUCUUUGAUCGUCCUCUGCUGCCACACUUGAUUCUUGACAUUCCCUGCUAUUUUACAAUUCUCUUGGAAAUUACCAGAGACUAGGGAAUCCCUAGACUUUUACUUAGGGAAAUGCUUUUGGCCUUCAUUUUGCAUGAAUUUUAACAGAUUAUUCCCAAAUUGUUUUGAAAUAAGUCAUCAUUUUAUUCAUAAGCACGUUUUCUUUUUAAACCAUCCAAUAAUGGGCUGUCUGCUCUGCAGGGGGAACAGAUGUUUGUUUUGCUUUUAAAUACGUUUCAAAUACAGGAAAAGAUUGAAAUGUAGAGGGAUUUUAAUGGCACAUAUUUGUGUCCCAUUGAUAGUGAUCAAAAAAGUUUACUAUGAGAUCUAGACCAAAGAUUUAUCUUGUUCUAGCUUUUAAGAAACUGAUGAAGUCUUAGGUCCCUGCAUUUAAAUGGUUUACAGUAAAUUGUCUAAAUAUGUAUUUUCCAGUGUUGAAUGGUAAACAUUGCUUCUGAAAUUUGACUGGUUCCUUAACACAUUCACCUUAGCAUAAGGCGAUUUAUAGGGCUGGCAUUAAAGUUUAGUCACGUAGUAUGUUAAGCCUGUGAUACUAAAUGCCUUUAAAAAAAAAAACUUAUUUUUAUUUAUUGGAAAGCAGAGUUAAAGUGAGGAAGACACAAACACACACACACACACAGAUCUUUGAUCCACUGGUUUUCUCCCCAAAUGGCCACAAAGCUGGGGCUCAGCCAGGCUGAAGCUAGGAGCCUUGACCUUCUUUGGGGUCUCCCACAUGGGUGCUGGAGCUCAAGGAUUUGAGCCAUCUUCUGCUGCUUUCCCAUGUGUAUCAGUAGGGAGUUGGAUCAGAAAUGGAGCAGCCAGGUCUUGAACCAGAGCCCUUUUGGGAUGCCAGCAUCACAGGUAGAGGUUUUUUUUUUUUCAUUUAAAGAUAUUUAUUGUUUUUUUUUUUACUUUUAUUUAAUGAAUAUAGAUUUUCAAAGUACAGUUUAUGGACUACAUUGGCUUCCCCCCACCCCCCGAUGACUUCCCUCCCACCCGCAACCCUCCCCUUUCCCGCUCUCUCUCCCCUUCCAUUCAUAUCACAAUUCAUUUUCAAUUUUCUAUAUAUACAGAAGAUCAGUUUAGUAUACAUUAAGUAAAGAUUUCAACAGUUUGCACCCACAUAGAAACACAAAGUGAAAAAUACUGUUUGAGUACUCGUUAUAGCAUUGAAUCUCAAUGUACAGCACAUUAAGGACAGAGAUCCUACAUGAGGAGUAAGUGCACAGUGACUCCUGUUGUUGACUUUACAAAUUGACACUCCUGUUUAUGGCAUCAGUAUUCUCCCUAUGCUCCAGUCAUGAGUUUCCAAGGCUAUGGAAGCCUUUUGAGUUCUCCGACUCUUAUCUUAUUUAGACAAGGUCAUAGUCAAAGUGGAAGUUCUCUCCUCCCUUCAGAGAAAGGUACCUCCUUCUUUGAAGAAUCACAGGUAGAGGUUUAAACUUAUAUUCGAUGACACUAGCUCAGCUAAAUCACUUGUCAAAAAGAUUUAUUUAUUCAUUUGAAAGGGAGAGUUAGAGAAAGAAAGAAAAACAGAAGGAGAAAAAGAGAGGGAGAGCACUUCCAUCUGCUGGUUUGCACUCUGAAAGUCUGCAAUGGCCAGGGCUAGGACCAGCAGAGGCCAGGAGCUGCUUCUGUGUCUCUCCUAUUUGGGUACAGGGGUGCUGGCACUUGAGCCAUCCUCUGCUGCUUUCCCAGGCACCUCAGCAGGGCACUGGAUUGCAAGUGGCACACCUGAACCUGUAUAGGAUGCAGGCCUCAUAGGCAGAGUCUUAACACGCUGCACCAUGUGCUUAGCUGGCCCCUGUUACAGGACUUUUGAUAGGAGCCUUUCCAGAUCCAUUAUGUGCUUAUUGGUCUUAUGUUGAAAACAUGGUAUAAAAUUUGAUGUAUUUUUAACGUCUCAGUGAUCUUCAUGCACAUCAUUUGUCCAUCUUGUGGCAUGUGUAGCCUGCAGAACUCGGUGUGCUGUUUCAGUUUGAUGUCUACAAUUUCAUGACUGUUUCUUUGCUGUCAGCCAUUUUUUCUUAGGGCUGUGUUUAGUUCCCCUCCCCAGUCACUUGUAAUUUGUUUUUGGCUCAAUUUGUUACCUGCUUUUGACAGCUUAAUUAGGAUUUUAGCUAAUAUGUAUUAGAGGUCUAUUAAAUGCCUCUGUGUUGGUACGUGUCCUAACCAUCUGUAACCUUACACAAGGCAGGAAGUACAGCUGUUCAUCCUACUUUUCUCAGCAACCCAACACUUGGGCAAGUAAGCCAACUUGCAUAUGGGAUUCAGCUGGUAAGUUGCCCAUGGAUAUGGCUAUGACUUUAACAGGCAAAUCUAUUUCUGAAGUCAAUCAAAUAAAAGCAAGGAUGUCAGUGAACAUUCAGAGCACUAGCUCAUCAAUAAAAUGUACAGAUUUUACAACUGUCAUUAUGGGAUUCUAUUUGUCUUUACUAAAGAUUUCUAGGUUUUCAUGUCAGCAGAGAAUGCUUCAUUCUAGGCAUUCACAUUUUCUCCAGGGGCUUGCUGAAUUGUUGCACUGACAUUUUUUAAGGCCAGGAGCAUUAGAAAUAGCCCCUGAAUGAGUGAACAAGUCUAGUUAACGUCCAAUAAAUGAAUGAACAGUCAUCCUUGUUGUAUAGAAUGUGGAUAACUGGAAAGAGAUUUAUAGAGAUGCUAUCCUUUCCUCCUGUAGAAUGGCUUCCUGAGUUCUAUGUAUGAGUAGAAUUUUGCAGAAUAAUUAGGGACUGAGAGCACUAGUUUUAACUAAUUUUAUCUUGUUCUGAAACAUCCUUUCUCAUUGUUUCUUUUGAAUAUGACUUGGAUCACUGUGAAGUACUUCAAAGUUUUAAUGAUGUUUCCUAAUGAGAGAUUUAUGAGCUAAGUACUGGCUUAGUUUUAAGUGCAUUUAAGGAUUUGGUUAUAAGUUGUAUCUGCAGUAGAACAGUUGCUUGUAGUGCUUUUCUUUCUGCUUUUGUGAAUAAAAAAAAAAACUCCUGAAGGCUCAGCAGGAGGAUUGUAGCAGUAGCUUCUAUAACCACUGUUAUUCUAGGUGUGUUGUAUCCUAGCUUUGACAUUUAAGGGAAUUCAGGCAAUUUUUGAUAUAAACAUGAAGAUAGUGGAAUUAUUUCAGAUGAAUAAUGUUAAGAUCUGUGUACAGAAUGGACACAAAGCCCCUGUCACUUUGCUUGUUUCAUAGGAGACAACUGGUCCCAACUGCUUCCUGAACCUGAUUUAUUGCCUCAAUAAAUUUCAUUGUCCAAAAUGAUCAUCACCGACUUUUUUACACAGAAAGAUGCUGAAACUGCAUACAAAACCUGGCAGGAUAUGAAUUGAGCAGACACUUGCAAAGAAUAUUAUUAGUCACUAGGGUUUGUUUUUUGAGGAAUGAUUAUUUUAUAAGUACACAUUACAUGUUUCUUCACUUUUAAUAUUUGUGAGCAUUUUUGUCACUUUCUCAGUGAGAGAAAGGAGGUUUGGAGAAGAAAGCCUAAGAAAGUGAUGUGGCUGGGAGGUUACAGGUGGGUGUCAGUUUGUAAGAGAGGUGGGGAAGGGGGAGCAGCCUCCCUCAGUGUGUAAGUCCUGCACAGGCUCUGGCUUGCACAAGGCCUACCCAUGCAGCCUCACUCCCCUUCAACUGCUGCCUGCAGACAAGCAAACCUGCUGGCUGCUCAGUGAACCUGCACUGCUUUGCCUUCUCCAGGUCUUUGUCUUACAGUCUUACCCUCUUGGAACACAGAAUCUGUCUCAGGAUUCAACAUCAGGAAAGGGCUGGGUGAAUCAGAGGGCCUCUGUUUCUUUUCCAGCUGAAUCUGAUUUCAGCUCAAUGUUGCAGUCCUGUAGUUGAGGUCUAUAGAUUAUAUGUGCUGCUUUGAUUCUGAGGUUCCUUUUGUUUUAUUUCUUGCUGUCGUCUGCCUUUUUCUCCUCCUUCACUGCUUGCCUGAUCUCAUCUGUCAGUUGUCUACUCUCCUAUCCACCAUUCACAGGUAUCUAUUCUGUGCCUUGUCAAGUGCAGUCAAUGCCAUAAGCACUAAGUAAGUUUAUAUCUAUAGGAAUAUUUUUCUGUUUUCUAAAGUUGGUGUGUGAGGGGCAUAAGCAAGUUGGGUAUCUAUGCUUUCUAUGGACACUUAAUGAAUUUAAGCUGGAAAUUGUUAGACAUUUUGGUCCCUAGUAUGUAUGAUGGUUUUUGAGGUGUGAUUGAGUGAGUUAUGAAUGUCGAAUGUUGGUUUGAUAUAGUGUUGAGGGAACCAUACCUAUUCUUUAUUCCAUAGGUUAACUUAAAAAACAGUUACCAUAACUCCGUUUCUACAUACAGAUUUAAUUGGUAAGGAAAGAAGGGCAACUAGAAUACAGAAAAUAUUAUUCUCCUGUGCCUAUUUUUUUAAAGAUUAUUUGAAAGUCAGAGUUACAGAGAGAGAGGUUAGGGAGACAGUUCUUGCAUCCUCUGGUUCACUUCCCAAAUGGCCACUAUGUCCAGAUCAGAGAUGGUCCAAAAUCAGGAGCCAGGAGCUUCUUCUGGGUCCCCUAUAUGGAUGCAGGGGCCCAUAAACUUGGGUGUCCUUUCCCAGCUGUGUUAGUGGGGAACUGGAUAGAAACUGGAGCAACUGAGACUCAAACUGGUGUCUAUAUAGGAUGCUGGUGUCACAGGCAGAGGCUUUAUGCUAUGUCACAAUGCCAGCCCUUCUCCUGUACAUUCUUCAUUUUCUGUUGUAAGUUAAAACCUAUAGUUAGUGAGAUUUGGGAUUAAGGGAUCAUUAGGCAAAAAAAAGUGCAUUCCACCUCUGACUUGAUAGUUACCUAAUAUAAUUUUACCAGAGAAUUUAUACAGAUUUUUAAUAAAUAUAUGAAAUGGAAUUUUUAAAAUUAAAACUAUAAAAUGGAAUAUGAAUUCUAAUAAAUUUGGAAUGGUAAUUAGUAACACAAUAGAACAUGACAUAAAAAUCUGAACAAAUAAGUUACUGGAUACUACAAGAAGCUAUCCAGAACAAUUAUUAUCCUUUAGACACCUGCUUCACGGGUGUGAUAGAAAAUGAAUGUUUUUUUCCUCCACAAAGCUGUGGUGUAAAGUGCUGAUUGCAUAGGGAAAUGACUGUCUCUCUGGUCUAGUCUGUUCAGGCUCCCAUGUACUAUUGACCCACUGGAGGCUUUAUUAAAUGUUAUGCCAGAGGGAUGGUUUGCUGAAAAUAAUUUUUUUUUCAGGAGAAAUGAAAUAAUUUAUUGAGAAAAUGAAGAAUUGUGUUUUUUAAGAUUUUUUUUAAUUUAUUUGAAAGACAGAGUUCGAGUUAGAGAGGUCUUGUUUCUGCUGGUUCAGUCCCCAAAUGACUGCAACAGCCAACGCUGAGCCAUUGGAGCCAGGAGCCUCUUCCAGGUCUCUCACAUGUGUGCAGGGGCCCAAGGACUUGGCCUAUUCUCCACUGCUAUCCCAGACACAUUAGCAGGGAGCUGAAUCAGAAGUGGGCAGAUGGGACUCAAACUGGUACCCAUGUGGGAUGCUUAGACACUUUUAUUUAUGGAUUACAAGUUAAUGCACUUCAGAAAUACAUUGUUAGGAAUAUAGUGAUUCUUCCCAUUAUACUUGCACUCCCGCUCACACUCCCACCCCUCUUCUUCCUCCCUUAUCCAUUCCCAGUCCCAUUCUCCACUAAGACCCAUUUUCAAUUAACUUUAUACGCAGCAGACCAACUCUGUACCAAGUAAAGAGUUCAACAAUUUGCACACACACAUACACACACACACAAGCAUAAAACUGUUCCUCAACAGUUGGUACAAGGAUUGGAAACAGCAAGCCAGGAGCAACAGAGAGAAAAGGUGAGCCCAGGAGGAGAGGAAGCUAAUGGGGGACUCAGGGGACAGUGGGGAAGGGAAGAUCCAAGCGGCAGGUGGCAUUGAGGGAGACAGUUGGAGUGAUGGGAGUGACAAUGAACUGCUAGUGCUCAGGAAAAUAAAGGGUGAGACCCUGGGGCAGAGCGGUUAGCAUCCCUGCCAUGGCCAUCCCCCUGCUGAGGUUGUAAGUGCUGUUCCACAUGUUCUUAGAAGGUGACCUAUAGUGUGGGCUGGGUACGGGCGAGGGUGUCAUGCCCAUGUAAUUGAAAAAAGGGUUUUUAGGUCCAGGAGGUUACUGUAUUUGGAGCCUGUCUGGUCCACCUGGGCCACAAUACUGAUGUUGCAGCUUUGUCUUUUUUGGGCAGUCAGCAGAGAGGUCCCUGAGAGGUUAUCCUCAGCCUUGGCAAACAAUGGCAACUGGAACAAGCACCAGGCCUGGUACCAGUGCAUCAGGGGUUCUGUUGGGCUCAUGGACAACCACACGGUCAUUAUGGAGCCAAUGAAAGUGACGUCAAACCAGAAAGCCAGACUGUGGACAAGCCCUGAAUGCAGCAUAUGGAAUUUGAAUUGGAUUUCUAUCCUCUGCCAGGAUUACAAUUAAAACCAAAUCAGUGAAGCAGAAGAGAGAAUAUUGGACUUAGAAGACAGAGCACAGGAAAGUAUACAGUCAAACCAAAGAAAAGAAGAGGAAAUUAGUAUCCUGUAGAUUCGUGACAAUAUUUUUAAGAUUUCUAUUAAAAAAAAUGAACAUUCGGGUUCUAGGAGUUUCUGAAGGCAUGGAAAGAGAGAAAGGAUUAGAAGGCCUUUUUAGUGAGAUACUAGCAGAAAACUUCCCACGUUUGGAGAAGGCAGAGACAUCCUAGUACAGGAAGCUCAUAGAACCCCUAAUAAACAUGACCAAAAGAGAUCCUCGCCACGACACAUUGUAAUCAAACUCACCACAGUGAAACAAAAAGAAAAGAUUCUAAAAUGUGCAAGAGAGAAACAUCAGAUUACUCUCACAGGAUCUCUAAUUAGACACACAGCUGACUUCACAUCAGAAGGCUAGGAGGGAUUGGCAAGAUAUAGCCCAGGUACUAGGAGAGAAAAACUGCCAGCCCAGAAUAUUAUAUCCUGCAAAGCUCUCAUUUGUGAAUGAAGGUGAAAUAAAGACCUUUCAUAGCAAACAAAAAUUGAAAGAAUUUGUCACCACUCAUCCAGUCCUGCAAAAGAUGCUUAAAGAUGUGUUAUACACAGAAACAGAAACAUGGCCAUCAAUAUGAAAGAUGGUAAAGGAAGAAAACCUCCCAGUAAAAGAUCACAGGAAGUUCAAAGCAUAUAUUAGAAAAUAUCUUUGGGAAAAUGGCAGGGCAAAGUUACUACUUAUCAAUAGUCACAUUGAACGUUAAUGGCCUCAACUCUCCAGUUAAAAGACACAGACUGGCUGAAUGGAUUAAGGAAUAAAACCCAUCUAUUUGCUUCUUACAAGAAACACAUCUUUCCAACAAAGAUGCAUGCAGACUGAAAGUGAAAGGUUGGAAAAAGAUAUUCCAUGCCAACAGAAACCAAAAAAAAGCUGGUGUAGCCAUAUUAAUAUCAGACAAAAUAACUUUAACACAAAAACAGUGAAGAGAGACAAAGAGGGGCACUAUAUAAUGAUUAAGGGAUUAAUUCAAAAGGAAGAUGUAACUAUUAUAAAUGUAUAUGCACCUAAUUACAGGGCACUGGAUUAUUUAAAAGAUAUGUUAAAGGACUUAAAGGGAGACUUAAGACUCCAAUACAGUAGUACUGGGGGACUUCAAUACUCUCAGAAAUAGGCAGAUCAACCAGACAGAAGAUCAACAAAGAAACUCGACACUAUAGCCCAAAUAGAUCUAACAGGUAUCUACAGAACUUUCAAUCCUACAUUUAAAGAAUUUACAUUCUUCUCAGCAGUGCAUGGAAUCUACUCUAGGAUUGACCACAUACUAGGCCAUAAAGCAAUUCUCAGCAAAUUCAAAAGAAUUAGAAUCAAACCAUGCACCAUCUCAGACCACAGUGGAAUGAAGCUGGAAAUUAGCAACUCAGGAAUCCCUAGAGAGUAUGCAAACACAUGGAGACUGAACAACAUACUCCUGAAUGAACACUGAGUCAUAGAAGAAAUCAAAAGAGAAAUCAGAAACUUUCUAGAAGUAAAUGAGGAUAACAACACAAUCAUAUCAAAACUUACGGGAUAUGGCAAAAGCAGUGUUACGAGGAAAGUUUAUAGCAAUUGGUGCCUACAUCAAGAAAUUGGAAAGGCACAAAACAAAUGAGCUUUCAAUGCAUCUCAAGGAUCUAGAAAAACUGCAGCAACUCAGACCCAAAUCUAACAGGAGAAGAGAAAUAAUUAAAAUCAGAGAAGAAAUCAACAGGAUUGAAUAAAAAAAAUUACAAAAGAUCAGCCAAAUGAAGAGCUGCAUUUUUGAAAAAAAUAAACAAAAUUGACACCCCUUUGGCUCAACUAACUAAAAAAAGAAGAAAAAAGAUCCAAAUCAAUAAAAUCAGAGAUGAAAAAGGAAACGUAACAGCAGAUACCACAGAAAUAAAAAGAAUCAUCAGAAAUUACUACAAGGACUUGUAUACCAGCAAACAGGGAAACCUAUCAGAAAUGGAUAGAUUCCUGGACACAUACAACCUACCUAAAUUGAACCAUGAAGACAUAGAAAACCUAAAUAGACCCAUGACUGAGUCAGAAAUUGAAUCAGUAAUAAAGGCCCUCCCAACAAAGAAAAGCCCAAGACCAGAUGGAUUCACUGCUGAAUUCUACCAGACAUUUAAAGAAGAACUACUCCAAUUCUUCUCAAACUAUUCAGAACAAUUGAAAGAGGGAAUCCUCCCAAAUUCUACCUAUGAAGCUAGCAUGGCCUUAAUUCCUAAGCUGGAAAAAGAUGCAGCAUUGAAAGAAAAUUACAGACCAAUUCCCUGAUGUACAUAGAUGCAAAAAUCCUCAAUAAAAUUCUCACCAAUAGAAUGCAACAACACAUCAGAAAGAUCAUCCACCCAAGCCAAGUGGGAUUUAUCCCUGGUAUUCAGGGAUGGUUCAACAUUUGCAAAUCAAUCAAAGUGAUACACCACAUUAACAAACUGCAAAAGAAAAACCAUAUGAUUAUCUCAAUAGAUGCAGAGAAAGCAUUUGAUAAAAUACAACACCCUUUCAUGAUGAAAACUCUAAGCAACCUGGGUAUGGAAGGAACAUUCCUCAAUACAAUCAAAGCAAUUUAUGAGAAACCCACAGCCAGCAUCCUGUUGAAAGGGGGAAAAUAAAAGAGAAUAAAGGGAUACAAAUUGGGGAGGAAGUCAAACUAUCCCUCUUUGCAGAUGAUGUGAUUCUUUAUUUAGGGGAUCCAAAGAACUCUCUAAGAGACUAUUGGAACUCAUAGAAGAGUUUGGCAAAGUGGCAGGAUAUAAAAUCAGUGCACAAAAAUCAACAGCCUUUGUAUACACAGGCAAUGCCAUGGCUGAGAAAGAACUGUUAAGAUCAGUCCCACUCUCAGUAGCCAGAAAAACAAUCAAAUACCUUGGAAUAAACUUAACCAAGGAUGUUAAAGAUCUCUACGAUAAGAAUUACAAAACCUUAAAGAAAGAAAUAGAAGAGGAUACCAAAUCUUCCAUGCUCAUGGAUUGGAAGAAUUAAUGUCAUCAAAAUGUCUCCCUAGAGUAAUUUAUAGAUUCAGUGAGAUACCAAUCAAAAUACCAAAGACAUUCUUCUCAGAUCUGGAAAAAAUGAUGCUGAAAUUCAUAUGGAGGCACAUGAGACCUUGAAUAGCUAAAGCAAUCUUGUACAACAACAACAACAAAAAGCUGGGGACAACACAAUACCAGAAUUCAGGACAUACUACAGGACAGUUGUAAUCAAAACAGCAUGGUACUGGUACAGAAACAGAUGGAUAGACCAAUGGAACAGAAUGGAAACACCAGAAAUCAACCCAAAUAUCGACAGCCAACUUAUAUUUGAUCAAGGAUCUAAAACCAAUUCCUGGAGCAAGGAGAGUUUCUUCAAUAAAUGGUGCUGGGAAAACUGGAUUUCCAUAUGCAGAAUCAUGAAGCAAGACCCCUACCUUACACCUUAAACAAAAAUGCACUCAACAUGGAUUAAAGAUCUAAAUCUAUGGCCGGACACCAUCAAAUUAUUAGAGAACAUUGGAGAAACCCUUCAAAAUAUUGGCACAGGCAAAGAUUUCUUGGAAAAGACCCCUGAGACACAGGCAGUCAAAGCCAAAAUUAACAAUUGGGAGUGCAUCAAAUUGAGGAGUUUCUGUACUGCAAAAGAAACAGGAAAGUGAAGAGGCAAUAGACAGAAUGGGAAAAAUAUUUGCAAAUUAUGCAACAGAUAAAGGAUUAAUAACCAGAAUCUACAAAGAGAUCAAACAACUCUACAACAACAAAAUAAGCAACCUACUUAAGAGAUGGGCCAAGGACCUCAAUAGACAUUUUUCAAAAGAGGAAAUCUAAAUCCCCAACAGACACAUGAAAAAAAUGUUCAGGAUCACUAGCAAUCAGGGAUAUGCAAAUCCAAACCAUAAUGAGGUUUUACCUCACCCCAGUUAGAAAGGCUCACGUACAGAAAUCUACCAACAACAGAUGCUGGCGAGGAUGUGGGGAAAAAAGGACACUAACCCACUGCUGGUGGGAAUGCAAACUGGUCAAGCCACUAUGGAAGUCAGUCUGGAGAUUCCUCAGAAACCUGAAUAUAACCCUACCAUUCAACUCAGCCAUCCCACUCCUUAGAAUUUACCCAAAGGAAAUUAAAUUUGCAAACAAAAAAGCUGUCUGCACCUUAAUGUUUAUUGCAGCUCAAUUCACAAUAGCUAAGACCUGGAAUCAACCUAAAUGCCCAUCAACAGUAGACUGGAUAAAGAAAUUAUGAGACAUGUACUCUAUAGAAUACUAUACAGAAGUAAAAAACAAUGAAAUCCAGUCAUUUGCAACAAAAUGGAGGAAUCUGGAACACAUCAUGCUGAAUGAAAUAAGCCAGUCCCAAAUGGACAAAUAUCAUAUGUUCUCCCUGAUCAGUGACAACUAACCAAGCGCCAAAAAGGAAACCUGUUGAAGUGAAAUGGACACUAUGAGAAACAGUGACUUGAUCAGUCCUUGUCCUGACUUGAGGAACAACUUAAUACUUUAUCCCUUUUAGUAUUAAUUUUUGAUCUACUUAAUACUAUUGGUUGAACUCUUUAAUUAAUACUCAAUUAUUCUUAGGUGUUGAAACUUAACUUUAAAGUGAUCCCUGUUAAAUAUAAGAGUGGGGGCUGGCAAUGAGGCUCAAUAGGCUAAUCCUCUGCCUGCAGCACCGGCACACUGGGUUCUAGUCAUGGUCAUGAUGCCAUUUCUGUCCAGGUUGCUCCUCUUCCUGUCCAGCUCUCUGCUGUGGCCCGGGAGUGCAGUGGAGGAUGGCCCAACUGCUUGCACCCUGCACCUGCAUGGGAGACAAGGAGGAAGCACCUGGCUCCUGGCUUCAGAUCAGCAUGGUACGCUGGCUGCAGCACGCCAGCCACAGCAGCCAUUGGGGGUGAACCAAAGAAAAAAAGGAAGACCUUUCUCUCUGUUGCUCUCUCUCACUGUCCACUCUGCCUGUCAAAAAAAAAAAAAAAUAUAUAUAUAUAUAUAUAUAUAUAUAAUAAUGGGAAUUAGAGAGGGAGGAGAUGUACAAUUUAUCUGAAUUUCCCCAAAUGGUAGAGUUAAAAAUGUGCCAGGGGAUUCCAAUUCAAUCCCAUCAAAGUGGCAUGUACCAAUGCCAUCUCGCUAGUCCCAGUGAUCAAUUUCAGUUCACAAUUGAUCACUCUGAUAAGUCUAAGAGUCAAAGGGAUCACAUAAACAAGACUAGUGUCUGCUAAUACUAACUGAUAGAAUUAAAAAGGAGAGAACGAUCCAACAUGGGAAGAGGGAUACACAGCAGAAUCAUAGAAUGGCAGAUGUCCUAAAUAGCACUCUGGCCUCAGAAUCAGCCCUGAAGGCAUUUGGAUCUGGCUGAAGAGACCAUAAGAGUAUUUUAGGGUUGGAAAGCCAAGACACUCUGGGAAAAAAAAAAUCCACAAACUUCUCAAUAAAGAUCUCUGCAAGUGCACUCCCAGUGGAAAGAACGGGGCAUCAAAGAAGGAGGUACCUUUCUCUGAAGGGAGGAGAGAACUUCCACUUUGACUACGACCUUGUCUAAAUAAGAUCAGAGUCAGUGAACUCAAAAGGCUUCCAUAGCCUUGGCAGCUUGUGACAAGAGUCUAGGGUGAUUAUUGACGCCAUAAACAAGAGUGUCAAUUUGUUAAAUCAACAACAGAAGUAAAUGUACACUUCUCAUGUAGGAUCUCUGUCCUUAAUGUGUUGUCCAAUGUGAAUUAAUGCUAUAACUAGUACUCAAACAGUACUUUUCAAAAGUUUGCACGACAGAAACAAUCUUCACUUAAUAUAUACUCAAUUGAUCUUCUGUAUAUAAAGAUAAUUGAAAAUCUUGAUGUGAAUGGAAGGGGAGAGGGAGCAGUAGAGGGGAGGGUUGCAGGUGGGAGGGAAGUUACAGGGAGGAAAAAUCCACUGUUAUCCAUAAGCUGUACUUUGGAAAUUUAUAUUUAUUAAAUAAAAGUUAGAAAAAAAUAAACAGUAAAACAGAAUUCUAUUGAUAUUUUUAGAAGUUUUUGAGAGAAAUUUUUUUCGGCAAACUGUAACAAGGUUAUUUUAUUUUUUUGACAGAGUUAGACAGUGAGAGACAGAGAGAAAGGUAUUCCUUCCAUUGGUUCACCCCCCAAAUGGCCACCAUGGCCGGCGCUGCCCCGAUCCGAAUGCAGGAGCCAGGCGCUUCCUCCUGGUCUCCCUUGCAAGUGCAGGGCCCAAGCUCUUGGGCCAUCCUCCACUGCCUUCCUGGGGCACAGCAGAGAACUGGACUGGAAGAAGAGCAACCAGGAAGGAAUCCGGCACCCCAACCGGGACUAGAACCCUGUGUGCCGGUGCUGCAGGUGGAGGAUUAUCCAAGUGAGACAUGGCACCGACCUGUAUUAAGGUUCUUAAACACUUAAAUGUUUUUUCUUAAAAUAUGGCUCAGUAAAAAAAAUUGUGAAACUUUGUACUUCAAUGAGGAAUGAGAAUUCUGGACCAUAUACUAAUUUUAUGCAUGCAGAUUCUUUGAAUGUAUUCUAAAGAAAUCAUUAUUUUUGUAUUGUCUAUUGUCCUGGCUCAGACAGUAUUUAUCAAAAUUAUUUUAAAAAUAUUUUCUCCUAACAACUUCUUUCAGUGACAAAUUGUACCAUGUUCUGUUGUCACCCCUGCUAGCUUAUUGGUGUGGAUUUAUUUUAAUCAUAAAUUCCAACAUGGGUUCCCAGUGUCAAUGGUAGAAAAAUUGUGGAGCCAAACACUCUGCCUGUUUCCAGAGAUUCCAUUUGGACCAUGGGAGGCACAGCUGUCUGUACAUUGUGCACAACCCUGCACCUACACCAGGCCGUGCAGGGUACAGAUCAGGAUUUCCUAAGAUCCCCUAACAGAAUACAAGCAAAGGAGAGAAUACAGUGGCUCCUGUCAUUCUGCCUGGGAAUGGAGAGCUCCGUUCCCACUGAGGUGUCCUGCUUAGACUCCCUCCCUUCUCCAGAAAAGAGCAAACACCAAAAACCAGAGGCUGUGGUAGGUAACUCAGCAUCCAGACACCCCAACAGAAGCUCAUCCCUCCUCUUCAGCUUGGAGUUCAGAGUAUGGGAACAGCCCUAUAUGUACCCACAAUCCCUGUGGCACAGGAUGGAGCUGGGGGUGCUCUUUCUCCUGCAAAGAGCUGUGGAGCAGAGCUCAGGAUGGCUACAUUUCAGAGGAUGGGCAUGAGGACAGAAGGAAGGACAAGGGGAUUGCACAGCUGUGUAGGCUCCAUUUGCCCUCCCUCUGCAAAUCCCAUACAGUCUUAAUAUUCACAUCUACUGAGGUGGGCUUGGUCACCUUGACCUUCAAGAGACAUGAGAAUGACAACCUAUCAGUCUCAUGAAUCACUUGCCAGUCAGACUGAUUCUCUGAUCCUGAGGCUGUGCAACAUGUAGGCAAAGUAAAUCCCAACAAAAGCACCACAUUACCUUGAAUCAGCCUGUGACCUUGGACCAGACACCUCCUUUCUCUGAUACAGAAUUCUGUCAGCAGACAAAAGGGUGUGGGUGACUUGUAUGAAUCUGAGGCACCAGCAUGUCACCUUGCUCUCCUCUGGGUCCACCUGCAAUUGUCACAGCACCUCAGUUUCUCCCUGGGGGAGUUUUAUAUAGCCCCAGUCCAUGUGGCUAACUGUUGCUCAUCAACUUCCUGUCUGCCACAGAGAGGGGCUUCAUGGGAUGCAUCUGGAGGAAUCUUGGUGCCCAGCACCAAGACUCUGCACUGUGGAUUAGGCCCCUGCUUUCCGGGGCAAAGACAGACCCUGUGUGCAUGUUGGUCCAUGUUCACCAGCCCAGCUCCACCCAGGUGCUCCAAGGGGAGGCCCUGCCUGUGCCCCAAACAUUUCCAACAUUACUGCUUCAGCUGUGGUGAGCCCUGAACAUUCACCUUGUUUCUGGCAAAGUCAGUCCUGGGGUCCAACUGAGAAAGACCAUCCUGGCUCCUGCCUUCCAGAAGCUCAUAGUCUGCAAGGAGAGGGAGACCAAGAUCUUGAAAAUAAAAAUAGCAGGAAUCAAAGAGCAAGUGCUGUAACAUACUCAGUGAGGGUUCUGCAAGAGUGCUGAGCCACUUCAUGGGGAAUCUGAAAGGUCUACACUUAGGGACAGUUAUGCUGGGGCAGACGAGAAGAGGAGCCUGCUCUGCACAACGCUGACAGCAGUGUGCUGGGGAGGCUCCACUGUGUAGAUUCCAGUGCAGAAGUGAGUUUGCCCAGAGAGGAGGUUAGGAAGGUGGCCAGUGGGACUGAGAGAGCUUGGACAGGGAGGAGGAGAGGAUGGAGUGGAGCCAAAGCUGACUCUGGGGCUGGUGCACUGCCCUCAGAAACCAUCAACUCCACUGUGUCCAUUUACAACAACUGUGAUGAGCUCACGAUUUCACUGCUCCACAAGUCCAGUAAACUCACCUCAGGGCUACUGCUACAGAGGCUCUCAGGAGUAGGGGCUGUGGCCUCAACAGAAGCUCAAAUAGGGAAGGAUUUAGGGGGACUGGCAGGAUUUAGUGUGGACUGAGCACAGAGUUCCCCUCUCUGCUGUCCUUGCUGGGUUCUGAGCCACAUGGCUUUCCCAAAGGCAGCAGAUAACAUAGCCAUCUCUAAGGGCAGGGGACUAACAGAGGGUGGGCAGAAAGAGGGAAGAGGAGGAGGAUGAAAGAGGGGAGGGGAAAGAUAGGAGGAGAGGAGAGAGAAGGAAAGAACUGAGAAGAGAAAGGCUUUAGUUGCAAUCACAUCACAUCUAAAUCUCGCAGAUGACAUCUCAUCCUAUCAACUAGAAGAGAGUCCCUAGCUGUAUACACACUUCAGGACAGGGGACUACAUGAGAAACUGCACCAGGAGGUGAGGGGAGCUGGGAGCUGCUAGAAGUCUGCCCACUGUGCCAGUUUUGGUGGCCCGGAUUGAGCCAUCAAUUUCACCACCUGCAUCCCACAUAGAAACCUGGUUUGAGUCCUGAUUAGUCCGCCUCUGAUUCAGCUUCCUGCUCAUGUGCCUAGGAAGGCAGCAGAAGAUGGCCCAAGUGCUUGGAUCCCUGCCAACCACAUGGGAGUCCCAGAUGAGGGCCCUGGCUCCUGCCUUCAGCCUGGCCCAGAGCUGGCUCUUGCAGCCCUUUGUGGAGUAAACCAGUGGAUACAAGAUCUCUAGCUCCCCUUCUCUCUCUGCUGUGCAAACAAACAAAUCAUUACAAACCUAAUUCUGUUCCACACACAAGUCGAUGGCACGUACUAAGGUCUAGGCCUAAAGAACAAGACAAGACACUGGAAGGUCUGGGAGGACAAUAUCUGAUUUGAUCAAUUCAAGCCACUAAUGACGCAGUCAGAGAACUGAUGCAAAGGAAGGAAGGUGGAUAAUGCCAAGCUCACAUAACAGGAAUCAGGUCUGCUUUUCAGUUGUCCAGGCUACUUUGAAAUCAUCAGACAAAAAGGGGAUUGGUGAACCAUGUGCACGUCCCACGAAUGAGUCAAAGACCCUGUAUCCCAAGU